UGUCCUGUUGAGUGGAGGUGUCGACGCGUGCUCCAUUUUGGCUCCUGAAAUCUUGCUUUUGUAGCGUCUAGUGCACAAUGACCUAUAAACGGAGGGCUCGGAAGACAAAGGAAGCCAAUUUGGCACGCGGUCGCCGUCUUUGGCAGGAAAGGAGAGCCGCUGUAGCGCAAGGGAGAGUUAUAUCAAGUGAGGAUGUAGGCGGCCUCCCCGCCUCACGCCUCGACCCUCCUCACACACCCUCCUCAACCCAGCCCCUCCAUGUGUAUGGACCGGCCACGACAGUGCCAUCUACAUCUACUGGUGUGGCAGUGCCAUCUACAUCUACUGAUGUGGCAGUGCCAUCUACAUCUACUGGUGUGGCAGUGCCAUCUACUGGUGUGGCUGGUGUUGCAGUGCCAUCUACUGCUGUGCCUGAUGUUGCAGUGCCAUCUACUGUUUCAAUAGACCAAUUUCAAUAGGGGAUGUGCAUGGAACUUGCACACCUUGCUCAAUGGAUGCCUAUCUGCAAGGGUGCCAAUUAUGAACAAAAUCUGUUGAAGUCAAGCUCAGUUACAGGUGGCCGAACUUUGAUCUUAUUUUACUCAGGGUGUGAUGGUGAAACUUGGACCAGUUGCAGCCCUUUCUAUAACCAUUUCAUAAAUAAAUUUAUAAGCAAAUCAAACAAUUUUUAAUUUAACCUUGAUAUGCCCCCUAAAG